UACGUAGGGGGCAAGCGUUGUUCGGAAUGACUGGGCGUAAAGGGUGCGUAGGCGGUGUAGCAAGUUAGAAGUGAAAUACCUAGAGCUUAACUCAGGUGCUGCUUCUAAAGCUGCUAUACUUGAGUGCAGUAGAGGAAAGUGGAAUUCCUAGUGUAGCGGUGGAAUGCGUAGAUAUUAGGAGGAACAUCAGUGGCGAAGGCGACUUUCUGGACUGUAACUGACGCUGAGGCACGAAAGUGUGGGGAGCAAACAGG
rnacentral:rRNA from 1 species